UUCGGUUGAAACCUCUUUUACAGGGAAGAAGCGAAAGUGACGGUACCUGCAGAAAAAGCGCCGGCUAACUACGUGCCAGCAGCCGCGGUAAUACGUAGGGCGCAAGCGUUAUCCGGAAUUAUUGGGCGUAAAGAGCUCGUAGGCGGUUUGUCGCGUCUGCUGUGAAAUCCCGAGGCUCAACCUCGGGCCUGCAGUGGGUACGGGCAGACUAGAGUGCGGUAGGGGAGAUUGGAAUUCCUGGUGUAGCGGUGGAAUGCGCAGAUAUCAGGAGGAACACCGAUGGCGAAGGCAGAUCUCUGGGCCGUAACUGACGCUGAGGAGCGAAAGGGUGGGGAGCAAACAGGCUUAGAUACCCUGGUAGUCCACCCCGUAAACGUUGGGAACUAGUUGUGGGGUCCAUUCCACGGAUUCCGUGACGCAGCUAACGCAUUAAGUUCCCCGCCUGGGGAGUACGGCCGCAAGGCUAAAACUCAAAGGAAUUGACGGGGACCCGCACAAGCGGCGGAGCAUGCGGAUUAAUUCGAUGCAACGCGAAGAACCCUUACCAAGGCUUGACAUAUACGAGAACGGGCCAGAAUGGUCAACUCUUUGGACACUCGUAAACAGGUGGUGCAUGGUUGUCGUCAGCUCGUGUCGUGAGAUGUUGGGUUAGUCCCGCACGAGC
rnacentral:rRNA from 1 species